rnacentral:piRNA from 1 species
UGGGACUUCUCUCUGAAGGGAGAUCCUAAG